CCAUCACCAAGCUCAAAGGAAACCCACCAUAAGUAUCGCAAGCUGCGCACACGUUAAUGAGCACCCACUAGGACAAUGAUGCCUCAGCAUCCCGGCUUUGUUAUAACUGCAUUCAAUGAUUCAACCUGAAGCAAGCCUGAUGACGCCGCUCCCGAAUGUGAUGGAUCCGACAUGUUAUUGGCCAGACAGCAAAAGUAAGACACAGUUGGUCCGACUACUUUCGACUGGCUUCGUUAUCGUUGCAACUUUCUUCGCCGCUGAUAAGCAUCGUCAACCGAACGAUACUGCCACGAUGGCAGCAUAGUCCGCCAUCCUUUCAGAUUAAACUAAGUGGCCAUCCAGAUGAAACGGGAGCAGAUUUUCAAGUUUUGCUGCUACAAUAACUCGAAGACGAAAGACGACGACCAAGCCAACGAAGAAGAGGAACAGGAGGACGACGAAGAGAAACGUACAGGCAGAUCUUAAUUUGAAAAUCUCCGAUAAAGAAAAGCAAAAUAAAAACAAGAAUCCACACAAAUUGGUACCGACAAGCUUAUCGCGCGCCAUUCAGCCGACCCAACAGACGGUGGCGACGUGACGACUUUGGAACAACAACACGUUAACGGCAAGGACCAUUCGAGAUGAAGCCGUAAAGCAGCUCAGCAUUCAAAUCGAGAAGCAGUCAUCGCCACAGUCACACCAUCACCGUCCCAUCGCUCAUCCAGCCCAGCCAUCUAUCCGUUACUACUUCCGAAGAUCGUCUACGCCGGCUGCUAGAAGCUACUCCAGCUCUGUCGCCCCGUUCUGUUUGCCAUUCCACUUGCGUGAGAAUUGAGCCGAACAGCUUAGCAUUUUUUUUCGUCCCCGGGAAAAUUGCACUGGAAAGACCUGGGACGGAUCUGUUUUACUACGGUGGAAUUGCUCGACGGAAUUAAUUUACUGGCUCUGCAGAUUAGUCGGAAUUGAUAUUUAUUUGCCGCUGCUUGACACCGACUGGUUUAUUUGUUGCACUCGGCAGACUAGCGACUAGCAAUUUGUAGAAUAGUUUGAGAACAGAACAUCAACACCAGCAUCGCCAUCAUUCCGUUCUGCGACAAAGCGCUCAUCAAACAGCAAACACUAAAAGUCUAUAUUUCCAUUGUCGCUGAGCAAGUAAAAAAAACACA